rnacentral:rRNA from 1 species
GACGAACGCUGGCGGCGUGCUUAACACAUGCAAGUCGAGCGGUAAGGCCCUUUCGGGGGUACGACGAGCGGCGAACGGGUGAGUAACACGUGGGUGACCUGCCCUCAGCUCUGGGAUAAGCCUGGGAAACGUGGGUCUAAUACCGGAUAUGACUCCAUGACGCAUGUUGGUGGGGUGGAAAGCCUUGUGCGGCUGAGGAUGGGCCCGCGGCCUAUCAGCUUGUUGGUGGGGUGANGGCCUACCAAGGCGACGACGGGUAGCCGGCCUGAGAGGGCGACCGACCACACUGGGACUGAGACACGGCCCAGACUCCUACGGGAGGCAGCAGUGGGGAAUCUUGCGCAAUGGGCGAAAGCCUGACGCAGCGACGCCGCGUGAGGGAUGACGGCCU